rnacentral:rRNA from 1 species
GACGAACGCUGGCGGCGUGCUUAACACAUGCGAGUCGAACGGAAAGGCCCUGCUUGCAGGGUACUCGAGUGGCGAACGGGUGAGUAACACGUGGGUGAUCUGCCCUGCACUUCGGGAUAAGCCUGGGAAACUGGGUCUAAUACCGGAUAGGAGCCAUUUUUAGUGUGAUGGUUGGAAAGUUUUUUCGGUGUAGGAUGAGCUCGCGGCCUAUCAGCUUGUUGGUGGGGUAAUGGCCUACCAAGGCGGCGACGGGUAGCCGGCCUGAGAGGGUGGACGGCCACAUUGGGACUGAGAUACGGCCCAGACUCCUACGGGAGGCAGCAGUGGGGAAUAUUGCACAAUGGGCGCAAGCCUGAUGCAGCGACGCCGCGGGGGGGAUGACGGCCUUCGGGUUGGAAACUCCUUUCGCUAGGGACGAAGCUUUUUGUGACGGUACCUAGAUAAGAAGCACCGGCUAACUACGUG